rnacentral:lncRNA from 1 species
UGGAUAGGAGCAGGUGUUGCUCUUACAGAGGGCCAGAGUUCACAUGGUCUCAAGGACAGAACUAAGAGCCAAAUUCCACAAACAAGCUGAUUCCACUGUGACAAUGAUGAAACUUCCAACUACUCCUGACCAUGGAGCCUGCCCUACAGGAUGGCUGAUACAUUUACUAUGAGAGUCAAUUUAAGAAAAUUGGCUUCCCUUACGAGCAAGACAAUAUAUUUUAAAAACUGAAUAUUUUUUGUUACUAUAUCAUAAAGCUCUUUCGAUGUAAGAAUAUGCAGUAGUAACAGCCAAUCCAGUGACCUGACAGACAGAACCCGAUGAGGUGUUUCUAAAUUCAACAGUCAUUUCAAACUGCCAACGAGUGGCCAGUGUCAAUCAGCUGUGACAUUCACAGGACCAAGGGUCUCUCCUCUCAUUGAUGCCUGACAAGGUCAUCCUCUGCUCAUAUGCAGCUGGAGUCAUGGUUACCUCCAUGUGUACUCUUUGAUUGGUGGUUUAGUCGCACGGAGCUCUGGAUAAUCGUUAGAGUUAAUUCUCUCCCUUUGAUUAUUUGCAGUAUAUAACAGGGCAAGUAAAAUCUACAUAAAUACUAAUACUGAGUCAAACCAGGAGGACGCCAUUCUUACAGUUUCCGUGUGUAUCCCCAGCUUCACCAUUCCCCAUUAUAUAUUGAUAGAAAGUUUGAGAAAUGGAUGGAGAAGAAAUCACUCCAGCUUAUGGAAGUUGGCAGAACAAAGUGGGAAUUUUUCCUUAUGCUAAAGACAAUGCGAAGAUUGCUGAAUGACUAUAAAAAUAAUGGGCCUCAGAGCCAAUAAAAACAAAACAACAAAAGUCUAUAGUCAAGUCUAUAAGCAAAGGAUUAAGAUAGUCUUGAAAUAAUUUUUUGUGACGUU